rnacentral:rRNA from 1 species
UACAGAGGUCUCAAGCGUUGUUCGGAUUCAUUGGGCGUAAAGGGUGCGUAGGCGGCGCGGUAAGUCGGGUGUGAAAUCUCGGAGCUUAACUCCGAAACUGCAUUCGAUACUGCCGUGCUUGAGGACUGGAGAGGAGACUGGAAUUUACGGUGUAGCGGUGAAAUGCGUAGAUAUCGUAAGGAAGAACCAGUGGCGAAGGCGGGUCUCUGGACAGUUCCUGACACUGAGGCACGAAGGCCAGGGGAGCAAAACGGG